GCCUAAUCACAAAACCACUAUCUUAAUCCCACACCAACACCGAAUACUUCUAUAACACUAUAGAAAAUUUUAUGUUAAAACUAGUAACAAGAAGUAAACCUUCUCUUAAAUGUAAAUGUAAAUCAGAAAGGACAGACCACUGAUAUUUAACACCUUUGAACCUAAAGUAGUAACUAAUCAAGAAAACUCUGCUAUAAACAACGUUAACCUAACACAAGAACAUUCCAAGAAAGAUUUAAAGAAUAAGAAGGAACUCGGCAAAUUUUAACCUCGCCUGUUUACCAAAAACAUCGCCUCUUGCCCCCCAUAAGAGGUCCAGCCUGCCCAGUGACUCUGUUUAACGGCCGCGGUAUCCUAACCGUGCGAAGGUAGCGUAAUCACUUGUUCUUUAAAUAAGGACUAGUAUGAAUGGCAUCACGAGGGUUACACUGUCUCCUUUUUCCAAUCAGUGAAACUAAUCUUCCCGUGAAGAAGCGGGAAUUAACCUAUAAGACGAGAAGACCCUAUGGAGCUUUAAACAACACAGCAUUUACCUUACAAAUUUCUAAAACAAACUUUACUAGGUAGAAUGACUAUAAGUUUUUGGUUGGGGUGACCGCGGAGCAUAAUCUAACCUCCUUGUUGAAAAAAUAUUAUUUUAAGCCCAGAACUACCUAUCUAAGCAUCAACAUUUUGACAUCCAUUGACCCAAUUAUAUUGAACAACGAACCAAGUUACCCUAGGGAUAACAGCGCAAUCCACUUUAAGAGCCCCUAUCGACAAGUGGGUUUACGACCUCGAUGUUGGAUCAGGGUUUCCAAGUGGUGCAGCCGCUACUA
rnacentral:rRNA from 1 species